rnacentral:rRNA from 1 species
UGUGCCAGCAGCCGCGGUAAUACGUAGGGUGCGAGCGUUAAUCGGAAUUACUGGGCGUAAAGCGUGCGCAGGCGGCUUUGCAAGACAGAGGUGAAAUCCCCGGGCUCAACCUGGGAACUGCCUUUGUGACUGCAAGGCUAGAGUACGGCAGAGGGGGAUGGAAUUCCGCGUGUGGCAGUGAGAUGCGUAGAUAUGCGGAGGAACACCGAUGGCGAAGGCAAUCCCCUGGGCCUGUACUGACGCUCAUGCACGAAAGCGUGGGGAGCAAACAGGAUUAGAUACCCUGGUAGUCCACGCCCUAAACGAUGUCAACUGGUUGUUGGACGGCUUGCUGUUCAGUAACGAAGCUAACGCGUGAAGUUGACCGCCUGGGGAGUACGGCCGCAAGGUUGAAACUCA